CACACACAUAAAAAAGAGUUUAUCAACUUCAAGAGUCAUUGAACAGUGUGUAUCAGGAUGAUAUCUUCCAUGUCAAGUCAAGUUGCCGAUUUGAAGAUGAUUUUAAGUACUUCAUCAAGAUUGAGUUCAACUUUUCGACCUAUUGCUAGAGUUGAUGUUGCUUCCAGUAACUCCGAUACUUCAUCUACAGACUCUGAUUUCACAUUUCCUGCCUCUGGUCCAAAUUCAGAUGCUUCCUCUAAGCCAGGCCAUUAUCCACUUGUUGUUCAGGAUGUCACUGGAGAGGAUGGGUCAGGAUAGGAACCAAACACUAGCAAUUAACGAGGCUGUAGGAGUUGGCUAACUACACUAAUUGCAAAGGAUAUGACAGGCCAAGUGAUGGUAAGGUAGUUCAAUUUUCCAACAGCCUCUGAUAUCUCUCAUGAUUGGUUACGAAUUAUGAGCUCUACCUAUCCCUGUGCGACUAACAAAUUGAUGUCCAAAUCUAAGUGUCAACAGAUCAAUAUGAUAAACCAUUCACUUUAAUACACGAAUAUAAUUAAUCUACUUCAAUUGCCCAAAAAUAUUUGAGACAUCCUAAUUCCUUGGACCUUGGUUUGGAAAUGAUAGAAAAUUCUGCUUAGGCUUAUUUAUCAUCACCGCUACUGACAACAGCAUUCACAUAUAACAUAUAUCACCAAAUAAAUACCAUGUGAAGAAUGACAAUAGAACAUUGAGUAAUCUGCCUCACUUUGAAUCACGUCAAACUACUAAACUACAAUAUCGAAUCGUUGAAACUGUGCGUUUUAAGGAUUAGGGACUGUUUUAAACCGUGAUGUGGCCAUCAGAGGUAAUUGACUAAACCAGACUUCCUUGAGCAACAAAAUUCACCAGUUAUUCUAUUAUAGACAUUUUCAAUGGAGUUAAUGGCAGAUCUUAUAAACUAAGAAACAUUUGUCACCAUCGUCCUUAGAAUCUAGAUUAAGAGUGUAGAAUAAUAAGAGAGGGCCCAAAGAGGUAUGUUACAUGAACUAGUUAUUUAUUUGACCAUCAUACCUUUCUUUAUAUACAAGAAAAAUUAGCUACUCCUAAAAGCCUUUACUAUCUAACAUGAUGGUAAUGAUUAUUACUAUAAAAGGUUUACAUUGGAUAUACUUGUUAUAAAUUUUAUCAUUAUCCAUCUGUUAUUUACAAAUGAAAGUCAAG